CUAUCACUGCAAUAAACUCGUAAUUAUAACAAAAUCCAGGUGCCUUUUAUCAAUAAGUCAAGCCACCCUUAAAGCACGCAGGGUAGCCGGUAGCUUAGUGUGGACCCGACCCGGACCCAACCGUAACGGUUUAACUACUCCCCUUCCAAACAUGAACUUGACGCACUAUUACAAAACAGAAAAUCCUUCCUCUCAUUGCAUAUUUCUUGUUUCUCUAAUCAUGGGUUCCGUUGAGCUGCAAGGUACUAGUGGAAGAAGAUCAUCACUAGAGAUUGUUAAUAAGAGUGGUGGAGAGUUAAAAGAGAUGAAUAGUGAAAAGAAGAGCAAUAAGAAAUCUUCAUACUUUAGAAAAUUUGGAUGCUUGAAAAUCGAAGAGAAUAAUGAAAAAGGGAGUGUUGUGGAGACAACAGGAGAGCCUGUAAAUCCUACUCACCUAAUUAUUAUGGUUAACGGUAUCGUUGGCAGUGCUCAAGAUUGGAAAUUUGCGGCUAAGCAGUUUUUAAAGAAGUAUCCCAGAGACGUUGUUGUUCACCGCAGCAAAGUUAAUUCAUCAAUGUUGACAUUUGAUGGUGUAGAUGUAAUGGGAGACAGACUAGCAGAAGAGGUGAUAUCAGUGAAGAAAAGACACCCAUCUGUUCAGAAGAUCUCAUUCGUAGGCCAUUCAUUAGGUGGGUUGAUUGCAAGAUAUGCUAUUGCUAGGCUAUAUGAACGAGAUAUCACCAAGGAAAUUUCUCAUGAAACCGGCAAUUGUAAAAGUGAUGAAUCUGAAGAUAAAGAUAACUGCGUGCAAGAGAAAUCCAGAGGCACAAUUGCUGGAUUGGAGCCCAUGAAUUUCAUAACCUCUGCCACUCCACAUCUUGGUUCGAGAUUUCAUAAGCAGGUCCCAAUGUUUUGUGGCUUUUACACUCUGGAAAAAGCAGCUGCUCGAAUUGCUGGGUUUCUUGGUAGGACUGGAAAACAUCUGUUUUUGACUGAUGUUGAUGGUGGAAAACCUCCGCUUCUUUUUCAGAUGACUAGUGACUCUGAAAAUCUUAAUUUUAUAUCUGCUUUGGAAUCCUUUAAGCGUCGUGUGGCAUAUGCAAAUGCAAGUUUUGACCACAUUGUGGGAUGGUGCACAUCAUCUUUACGGCGAAGAGAUGAACUCCCUAAGAGACAUCAUCUCUCAAGACAUGAGAAAUAUCCACAUAUUGUUAAUGUGAAGACAACAGAAAAUGCAGGCCCUCAGCAUGAAAUAUCAGAGGUCAAAGCUUAUGAUUGCAAGACUAUUGACAUGGAAGAGGAAAUGAUCAGAGGCUUGACAAAGUUGAGCUGGGAACGAGUUGAUGUUAACUUAAGUGGAAGUAUGCAAAGGUUCUUGGCGCACAGCACCAUUCAGGUGAAAAUCUCCUGCAUCAAUUCUGAUGGGGCUGACGUUGUCCAACACAUGGUUGACAAUUUUCUUUUGUGAAAGGGUUGAAGGUGUGUGAUGAGAUAAUUUUUUCAGCCCAGGAGAACUUUCCCUGGGUGUAAAAUAUUUUCUUUUGUAGCCCAGUUAGGAACAGCGCAGCCCCUUGUUAUUGAAGCCUCAGCUAGCUCGUUCAUGACUUCCUUCCGAAGAUCAAAAACCAAGGUUCGGCGAUAUGAAGAUGUGGGGAUACCUUUGGUUUUCUGGUGGCUCGUGAAACGAGGUCGAGGUCGAGGUCCUUCCCUUUUCGUUUUGAGGUCCUCACCCAUUUUUCUUUAAGGCUGGCUGGAAUAUCCUCUUUUUGGCUUAGACAUUCAAUCUUAUUUAGAUAAAAACAGACUCAUCUUUUUGGUUUGUUGAGGUGGCAAUGAAGCACUGAACCUCUCUUCGUACACUUUUCAGGAUUCAGAUUCAUAUUCAGUUACCUUCCUGUACUGCCACUGUCAUUCGCUUUCAUCCUCCUUAUUAUUAAUUUACUCUGCUCUCACACUCU